GUGGGGAAUAUUGGGCAAUGGGGGAAACCCUGACCCAGCAACGCCGCGUGAAGGAAGAAGGUUUUCGGAUCGUAAACUUCUAUCCUUGGUGAAGAUAAUGACGGUAGCCAAGAAGGAAGCCCCGGCUAACUACGUGCCAGCAGCCGCGGUAAUACGUAGGGGGCAAGCGUUGUCCGGAAUGAUUGGGCGUAAAGGGCGCGUAGGCGGCCUGGUAAGUCUGGAGUGAAAGUCCUGCUUUUAAGGUGGGAAUUGCUUUGGAUACUGUCGGGCUUGAGUGCAGGAGAGGUAAGCGGAAUUCCCGGUGUAGCGGUGAAAUGCGUGGAGAUCGGGAGGAACACCAGUGGCGAAGGCGGCUUACUGGACUGUAACUGACGCUGAGGCGCGAAAGUGUGGGGAGCAAACAGGAUUAGAUACCCUGGUAGUCC
rnacentral:rRNA from 1 species